CACAAGCGGUGGAGCAUGUGGUUUAAUUCGACGCAACGCGCAGAACCUUACCAGCCCUUGACAUGUCUAUGACCGGUACCAGAGAUGGAACCUUCCCUUCGGGGCAUAGAGCACAGGUGCUGCAUGGCUGUCGUCAGCUCGUGUCGUGAGAUGUUGGGUUAAGUCCCGCAACGAGCGCAACCCCCGUCCUUAGUUGCUACCAUUUAGUUGAGCACUCUAGGGAGACUGCCGGUGAUAAGCCGCGAGGAAGGUGGGGAUGACGUCAAGUCCUCAUGGCCCUUACGGGCUGGGCUACACACGUGCUACAAUGGCGGUGACAAUGGGACGCUAAGGGGCAACCCCUCGCAAAUCUCAAAAAGCCGUCUCAGUUCGGAUUGGGCUCUGCAACUCGAGCCCAUGAAGUUGGAAUCGCUAGUAAUCGUGGAUCAGCAUGCCACGGUGAAUACGUUCCCGGGCCUUGUACACACCGCCCGUCACACCAUGGGAGUUGGUUCUACCUGAAGGCAGUGCGCUAACCGCAAGGGGGCAGCUGA
rnacentral:rRNA from 1 species